CCUACGGGAGGCAGCAGCAGGGAAUCUUGCGCAAUGGGCGAAAGCCUGACGCAGCGACACCGCGUGGGGGGAGAAGGCCUCAGGGUUGUAAACCCCUUUUCUGUGGGAAGAGAUAGGACGGUACCACAGGAAUAAGCAUCGGCUAACUACGUGCCAGCAGCCGCGGUAAUACGUAGGAUGCAAGCGUUGUCCGGAUUUACUGGGCGUAAAGGGUGUGUAGGCGGCAUGUUAAGUCUCAUGUGAAAUCUCCCGGCUCAACUGGGAGGGGUCAUGGGAAACUGGCAAGCUGGAGGGCAGCAGAGGAAAGCGGAAUUCCGGGAGUAGUGGUGGAAUGCGUAGAUACCCGGAGGAACACCAGAGGCGAAGGCGGCUUUCUGGGCUGUACCUGACGCUGAGACACGAAAGCGUGGGGAGCGAACCGGAUUAGAUACCCGGGUAGUCCACGCCCUAAACGAUGGAUACUAGAUAUAGGGGGUAUUGACCCCUCCUGUGUCGGAGUUAACGCGAUAAGUAUCCCGCCUGGGGAGUACGGCCGCAAGGCUAAAACUCAAAUGAAUUGACGG
rnacentral:rRNA from 1 species